rnacentral:rRNA from 1 species
GAUGAACGCUGGCGGCGUGCCUAAUACAUGCGAGUCGAGCGAACAGAUGAGGAGCUUGCUCCUCUGACGUUAGCGGCGGACGGGUGAGUAACACGUGGAUAACCUACCUAUAAGACUGGGAUAACUUCGGGAAACCGGAGCUAAUACCGGAUAAUAUAUUGAACCGCAUGGUUCAAUAGUGAAAGACGGUUUUGCUGUCACUUAUAGAUGGAUCCGCGCCGCAUUAGCUAGUUGGUAAGGUAACGGCUUACCAAGGCAACGAUGCGUAGCCGACCUGAGAGGGUGAUCGGCCACACUGGAACUGAGACACGGUCCAGACUCCUACGGGAGGCAGCAGUAGGGAAUCUUCCGCAAUGGGCGAAAGCCUGACGGAGCAACGCCGCGUGAGUGAUGAAGGUCUUCGGAUCGUAAAACUCUGUUAUUAGGGAAGAACAAAUGUGUAAGUAACGAUGCACGUCUUGACGGUACCUAAUCAGAAAGCCACGGCUAACUACGUG